rnacentral:tRNA from 1 species
GACUCCUGGUUAGCCCAGCUGGUAGAGCGCUCUACUUGAAACGGAGAGGUCCCUGGUUCGAUACCAGGACCAGUCG